rnacentral:lncRNA from 1 species
AAGCUCUCCUUGGAAACUUUAUAAUUUAAAAAAAAAAAAACAAAGCCUCCUGAAUCCACAAAUGUUUUUAAAUGAAUUCAGGUCCCAAAUUCCUGGAGUAGGGUGGGGAGGCAGAAGAUGAUGGAAAGUCUUUCAGUGUGUCAAGGGCGCUGGAGCCCUCUCCCACCUCCCAAGCGCUUGCUGACGGGGACACAAGAGCCCUCGCGCAUCUGGGGAAGUGUCUCCUUUUGAAAACGCACGGGUCCUUGUGCUCUGAGUGUUUUGAGUCCGGUCCAUUAUGAGAAAUCUCCUUUUGAGGAUGGACAUAUUCAAAUCCAGAUGCUGUUCUUCCAGAACAAAAAGCGCCCUCCAAACUCUGUGAAGAAAGAGGUUCUCAUCCUUUGAAGGAAUAACAUCUCUUGAUAAGCGGAUUUUUUUCCCCCAGCCAAGAACGUGCUUUUCUGAAUUUGCUAAAACUGGUUUAAUAGCCUGUCCCUGUUCCACGUCUGAUGCCAGGAUGGCAGCAACAAGGUGGAAUGUCACUGGCUGCUGGAUUCAGUAGAUGGAGUAUGGCUUCACUAAGAAGAGGUUGGAUUUUUAAAAUAUACACGGUUUAUUUAGAAGAAUUUCUUUUAAUUCAAGACAUACAUUCUAAUGGGACAAGUGUAAGAUGAAAUAUGGAUUAUCAGAAAAACUUCCCAAAUUGUACAUUUCACUUUGCUGAUUCAAAGAUCUUUGGAUAAUUAAAAAUAAAUUAAAAGAAAAAAGAAGAGUUCCUGUCGUGGAGCAGCAGAAACAAAUCCAACUAGGAACCAUGAGGUUGCAGGUUCGAUCCCUGGCCUUGCUCAGUGGGUUAAGGAUCCAGCAUUGCUGUGAGCUGUGGUGUAGGUCACAGAUGAGGCUUGGAUCCUGCGCUGCUGUGGCGUACGCCGGCAGCUGUAGCUCCAAUUAGAUCCCUAGCCUGGGAACCUCCAUAUGCCAGGGGUCCAGCCCUAGAAAGACAAAAGGCCAGAAAAAAAAGAAAGAAAGGAAAAAAAAGAACCCAUGCCUUAAGAUAAUAAAUAUGUCUGGGAGUUCCCGUCGUGGCGCAGUGGUUAACGAAUCCGACUAGGAACCAUGAGGUUGCGGGUUCGGUCCCUGCCCUUGCUCAGUGGGUUAACGAUCCGGCGUUGCCGUGAGCUGUGGUGUAGGUCGCAGACGCGGCUCGGAUCAUGCGUUGCUGUGCCUCUGGCGUAGGCUGGUGGCUACAGCUCCGAUUCGACCCCUAGCCUGGGAACCUCCAUAUGCCGCGGGAGCGGCCCAAGAAAUAGCAACAACAACAACAACAACAAAAGACAAAAAAAAAAAAAAAAAAAAAAAAAAAAAGAAAGAAAAAAAAAAUAUGUCUAUCACCUUUUAAAAAAAAUCCUCAAAUAACAAAUUUUCAGAAAAAAAGAAUGUGAGUUCUCCUUGUGGCUCAGCAAUAGCGAACCCGACUAGUAGACUAGUAUCUAUGAGGAUGACGAUUCGAUGUCUGGCCUUGAUCAGUGGGUUUAGGAUCCAGCGUUGCUGUGGCUGUGGCAUAGGCCAGCAGCUAUAGCUCCCAUUCGAAUCCUAGCCUGGGAACUUCCAUAUGCCAAAGGUGUGGCCCUAAAAAGAAAAAAAAAAAAAAAAAAUUUAAGAAUGACUGAAGAAAAGGGGUUUGCUGGCUCUGUAGAACUGGGGGCUUGGCGUCGGAACUUCAGGUAGGUUUUUAUACAGAAAGAAAGCAAUGUAGGAAGUUCCCAUUGUGGCACAGCAGUAAUGAACUUGACUAGCAUCCAUGGGGACUCAGGUUCAAUCCCUGGCCUCACUCAGUGGUUAAGGGUCUGGUGUUGUUGUCACUGCUGCGGCUUGGGUUGCUGCUAUGGCAUGGGUUCGAUCCCUGGGAACUUGCACUUGCGACAAGCAUGGCAAAAAAAGAAAAUCAAAAACAACCUCAAUGUCUCUCGGUCACAAACUCCAUAAAUAAAUUAUGGUACAUCCUUACAACGGAAUAUUCUCCAGCUGACCAUUUUUUGGUAAUGAAGCAGUAUAACAUACACUGACUGGAAUUACUUCAAAGGUCUAUUACAAAGUAAGAAAAGCGAGGCUCGGUUGGCUAUAUAGAGGGCUUCAUUUGUAUAAAAAUAAAGAGACAAAGCAGGAUAUCUGUGAACAAACAUUUGCUUGUAGCUGCAUAGAUUCUAUCUGGAAAGAUACAUAAGAAACUGCUAACUUCAGUUCCUGGAAAACAAAAUCAUUUGAAGGUCCAUGGAAAGAAGAGUUGGUUGCUAAUCUAAACACACCCAUGCCUUUUGCACCUUUUGCAUUGUGUAUAUAUCACCUGUUCAAAAAAAAAAAUCUAUGUAGAACAUCAAGAUGCCUCUAGUACUUCAAAAACUAACAGUAAAAAGAGAAAAUACAGCCAUUUUAGCUUUUCAUCUUUUGAAAAUAACAACUAUUCAUACCUGAAAUGGGUUAUUUGAGGAAAUGAUAUCUUUUAUCUCUUUGUUUAAAAACAAAGCACAACAUGGGUUUUUAAAAUAACCAGCUAAAUCACAAAAAAAUGAAGCACAGGAUGCAACAAUUCUAAUCUCCCAUGUAUUGAAAGCAAAUAUAUCUAUUUCUUAAUUCUUAUCAUGCAGUUAAAUUUCAAUCUAUAAUGAUAAUUUCAGCAUACAUUCAAUCCCCAAACCAAGACCAACAAGAUAUUUUCAAUUUCUUUGUCUAUAAAUCUGGUUUAUUCAGAAGGGUUUGAAAAGUUCCUGUCAUGGCUCAGUGGUUAUGAACCCGACUAGCAUCCAUGAGGACACCGGUUCAAUCCCUGGCCUUGCUCAGUGGGUUGAGGAUCUGGCAUUGCCAUGAGCUGUGCUGUAGGUCGCAGACACGGCUCAAAUCCCACCUUGCUGUGGCUCUGGAGUAAGCUGGUGGCUGUAUCUCCGAUUUGACCCCUAGUCUGGGAACCUCCAGUGCAGCCCUAAAAGACAAAAAAAAAAAAAAAAAGUUUUGCAAGGUCUUUGGUGUAAAAACAAUUUGAAUGUUCAAACAUAUUGAUAAAUACAACCUGGGCUCACUGUGUAUGGCUAUGCAAGCUGCAAACUGUACAACUCCAGGGGUUGCUUUUCAGAUCCUAAGUCAAAUUGUGCAGUGCACUACCUGUGCAACUGGGCAUGUCAAUCCUGUGGCUACUGAAAAUGUUGGACACUGUGGAAAGAAAGUUUUUGGGCAGGGGAGGGUAGGUGUCAAAGCUGGGGUCACAUAGAUUGUGAGGCCAGAAUUUCAUACAUCCUAUCUCUCCAGGCUGGCCUCCCUUUUGGAGGCUCUGAAAACAGAAAUAGCCUAAGUUUUCUCUGAGCCUUAUAGCCUUGGUUUUCCUAAGGUUGGGGCCAAGGGACCAUCUGCCAGGGCCUACAAUCACCUCCUCAGCCUGUACAACUCAAAGUCCUCUUUAAUCACUUGGCAGCUGAGAAGGAAGGCCAGAAGAAGGGCCCCCACUGUACCCCCUCAUCUUUAUUCCUACCCUAAUGGAGGCAGAGGCAGUUCGCACAAGGGUAGAGGUGGUGGUGAUGGAACCUUAAGUGAUGUUCUGGACAUUUGGCCUCUGGAACCUGCUCUACCACCACCACCUUUCUGUGUGAUCUUGGCAAAUCUUUAAGCCUCUCUGGGCUUUUCCAUCCCUGUUUGCAAAAUGAAAAGGAUUAUUGCCUGUCUUUCUCUGCCUCUUGGAAAAGCAGACAAGAGAGAAAAACACAAAGUGAAGAUUUCACAGGGAAUGCACAGAAAUUCCAGCAUGCUAAUAAUCACCAUUAAGCCUCAAGAAUUAGGGCCUGAGGGAGUUCCCAUUGUGGCUCAGGAGUAAGGAACCUGACUAGUAUCCAUGAGGAUGUGGGUUCAAUUCCUGGCUUCACCCAGUGGGUUAAGGAUUCGGCGUUGCCCUGAGCUAUCGUGUAGGUGUAGAUGCGGCUCGAAUCGCUCGUUGCUAUGGCUGUGGCAUAGGCUGGCAGCUACAGCUCUGAUUCAACCCCAAGCCUGGGAACUUCCAUAUGCUACACGUGCAGUCCUAUUUAAAAAAAAAAAAAAAAAAAAAAAAAAAAA